AUACGUAGGGGGCGAGCGUUAUCCGGAAUUAUUGGGCGUAAAGAGUGCGUAGGUGGCUCUUUAAGCGCAGGGUUUAAGGCUACGGCUUAACUGUAGUUCGCCCUGCGAACUGAAGGGCUUGAGUGCAGGAGGGGAAAGCGGAAUUCCUAGUGUAGCGGUGAAAUGCGUAGAUAUUAGGCGGAACACCAGUGGCGAAGGCGGCUUUCUGGACUGAAACUGACACUGAGGCACGAAAGCGUGGGGAGCAAACAGGAUUAGAUACCCUGGUAGUCCACGCCGUAAACGAUGAGCACUAGGUGUCGGGCCGUAAAGGCUCGGUGCCGGAGUUAACGCAAUAAGUGCUCCGCCUGGGGAGUACGCACGCAAGUGUAAAACUUAAAGGAAUGGACGGGG
rnacentral:rRNA from 1 species